AUAUUUCAAGUGAUGAUUAGAUGCAUAGUUCAAAUGACUAGUCUAUGAUUAUACAACUCUUUAGUCUUUCGCUUCUAUCUGAUGACCUUU